GAUGAACGCUAGCUACAGGCUUAACACAUGCAAGUCGCGGGGCAGCAUGGGGGUUGCUUGCCAUCCCCGAUGGCGACCGGCGCACGGGUGAGUAACGCGUAUCCAACCUGCCCUUCACCACGGGAUAACCCGGCGAAAGUCGGACUAAUACCGUAUGUUGUCCAUUGACGGCAUCCGAUUUGGACGAAAGGCUUGGCGGUGAGGGAUGGGGAUGCGUCCGAUUAGCCAGACGGCGGGGUAACGGCCCACCGUGGCUACGAUCGGUAGGGGUUCUGAGAGGAAGGUCCCCCACACUGGAACUGAGACACGGUCCAGACUCCUACGGGAGGCAGCAGUGAGGAAUAUGGGUCAAUGGGCGUAAGCCUGAACCAGCCAAGUAGCGUGCAGGAUGACGGCCCUAUGGGUUGUAAACUGCUUUUAUGCGGGGAUAAAGUGGCCCACGGGUGGGCUUUUGCAGGUACCGCAUGAAUAAGGACCGGCUAAUUCCGUG
rnacentral:rRNA from 1 species